rnacentral:rRNA from 1 species
GGCUCAGGAUGAACGCUAGCGGCAGGCUUAACACAUGCAAGUCGAGGGCAGCAUGGGACGGAGAUUCGUCGAAGUCCUGAUGGCGACCGGCGCAAGGGUGCGUAACGCGUGAGCAACUUGCCCGUUUCUGGGGAAUAACCGGUGGAAACGCCGACUAAUACCCCAUAACACCUUAAGAGGCAUCUUUUUGGGUUGAAAGUUCCGGCGGUUAGAGAUGGACAUGCGUUGUAUUAGCUAGAUGGUGAGGUAACGGCUCACCAUGGCGACGAUACAUAGGGGGACUGAGAGGUUAACCCCCCACACUGGUACUGAGACACGGACCAGACUCCUACGGGAGGCAGCAGUGAGGAAUAUUGGUCAAUGGACGCAAGUCUGAACCAGCCAUGCCGCGUGCAGGAAGACGGCUCUAUGAGUUGUAAACUGCUUUUGUACAAGGGUAAACCUCGGUACGUGUACCGAGCUGAAAGUACUGUACGAAUAAGGAUCGGCUAACUCCGUG